rnacentral:rRNA from 1 species
AGAGUUUGAUCAUGGCUCAGGAUGAACGCUGGCGGCGUGCCUAAUACAUGCAAGUCGAACGAGUUCUGAUUAUUGAAAGGUGCUUGCAUCUUGAUUUAAUUUUGAACGAGUGGCGGACGGGUGAGUAACACGUGGGUAACCUGCCCUUAAGUGGGGGAUAACAUUUGGAAACAGAUGCUAAUACCGCAUAAAUCCAAGAACCGCAUGGUUCUUGGCUGAAAGAUGGCGCAAGCUAUCGCUUUUGGAUGGACCCGCGACGUAUUAGCUAGUUGGUGAGGUAACGGCUCACCAAGGCAAUGAUACGUAGCCGAACUGAGAGGUUGAUCGGCCACAUUGGGACUGAGACACGGCCCAAACUCCUACGGGAGGCAGCAGUAGGGAAUCUUCCACAAUGGACGCAGGUCUGAUGGAGCAACGCCGCGUGAGUGAAGAAGGCUUUCGGGUCGUAAAACUCUGUUGUUGGAGAAGAAUGGUCGGCAGAGUAACUGUUGUCGGCGUGACGGUAUCCAACCAGAAAGCCGCGGCUAACUACGUGCCAGCAGCCGCGGUAAUACGUAGGUGGCAAGCGUUAUCCGGAUUUAUUGGGCGUAAAGCGAGCGCAGGCGGUUUUUUAAGUCUGAUGUGAAAGCCCUCGGCUUAACCGAGGAAGUGCAUCGGAAACUGGGAAACUUGAGUGCAGAAGAGGACAGUGGAACUCCAUGUGUAGCGGUGAAAUGCGUAGAUAUAUGGAAGAACACCAGUGGCGAAGGCGGCUGUCUGGUCUGUAACUGACGCUGAGGCUCGAAAGCAUGGGUAGCGAACAGGAUUAGAUACCCUGGUAGUCCAUGCCGUAAACGAUGAAUGCUAGGUGUUGGAGGGUUUCCGCCCUUCAGUGCCGCAGCU